CCUACGGGUGGCAGCAGUGGGGAAUAUUGGGCAAUGGGCGCAAGCCUGACCCAGCAACGCCGCGUGAAGGAAGAAGGCUUUCGGGUUGUAAACUUCUUUUCUCAGGGACGAAGAAAGUGACGGUACCUGAGGAAUAAGCUACGGCUAACUACGUGCCAGCAGCCGUGGUAAUACGUAGGUGGCAAGCGUUACGCGGUUUUAUUGGGUGUAAGGGGCGUGUAGGCGGGAGCGUAAGUCAGAUGUGAAAACUCAGGGCUCAACGCUGAGCGUGCAUUUGAAACUGUGUUUCUUGAGUGCUGGGGAGGCAGUCGGAAUGCCGGGUGUAGCGGUGAAAUGCAUAGAUAUACCGAGGAACACCAAUUGCGAAGGCGGAUUACUGGACAGUGACUGACGCUGAGGCGCGAAAGCGUGGGGAGCAAACAGGAUUAGAUACCCUUGUAGUC
rnacentral:rRNA from 1 species